GUUAUGCAGGAACUCAGAGAGACUCCACAGAAUGUGACACACGAAGUCAGAGACAAUAGGUAGUGUGUGAAACUUAAAGUAUGAGACAGGUUGGGAAUGUUACACAUGAAGUCAGAGAAACAGGCAGGAGAGUGACACAUGAAGUCAGAUACAACAUGGGGAAUGUGACAUAUGAAAUCAAAGAUGACAUGUAGAGUGGGACUCAGACUCAGAGAUGCAUCAGGAAAAGAUACACAGGCAGUCAGAGAUGACAUAGGGGAGUGUGACACAUGAAGUAUGAGACAACAGGGAGCAUGUGAUGCACAAAGUCAAAGAUGCCAAUGGGUGGUGUUAUGCAAAAAGCCAAAGGAAACAGGGAGAGUGUUAAACACAAAGUUGGAGGUGCCAAGUGGAGCAUUAUACAGAAACUCUGAGAAGUCAGUGGCAUUCUUACACACGAUGUUAUAGAUGACAGGGGGAAUGUGACACAGAUACUCAGAGACACCAGAGGGAGUGUGACACAUGGAGUCAGAGGCACCACAGGUUGUGUUACAUACAAAGUCAGAGGCACCAGGGAGAGUGUGAUACACAAAGUCAGGGAUGCCAGGCAGAGUGUGACUCAUGACCUCAGAGAUGGCAUGUGGAUUGUUAUACACAAAGUCAAAAAUACCUGGGGAAUUGUGAUACGAGAUGUCACAGACUCAAGGGGGAGUGUAACACACAAAUUCAUAGAUGCCAGAGGGAUUGCGAUCCACGUAGACAGAGAUGCCAGGUGGACUGUUAUAAACAAAGUCAGAGAUGCCAGAGGGAGUGUAACACACACUCAAAAACAACAGGGGGACUAUUAUACAUGAAGUCUGAGAAAACAGGGGAGUGUGACACACGAAUUCAGAAAUGCCAGGGGCAGUGUGGUACAGGAAGUUAGAGACAUUAGGGAGUAUGCGAAAGAGGAAGUCAGAGAUGCCACAGAAUUGUACACACGAAGUCAGAGAAGAUAGAUGGAGUGUCGCACACGAAGUCAGAGAAGAAAAGAGAAGUGUUACACAGGAUGACAUACAUGUCAGGAGGUGUGUUAAGCAUGAAGUCAAAGAUGCCAUGUGGAGUAUUACACAUGAUGUAAGAGACACCAGGUGGAGUGUUACGCACGAAGUCAGAGACGCCACACAAAGUGUGACACAAGUCAAAGAUGCAAUUGGGAGUGUUACAUAUGAUGGUAAAGAGGGCAGGGACAUUGUGACACAUGUAGUCAGAGAAACAAGGGGAAGUGUGACACAUGAAGUCACAGAUACCAGGAGGUGUGUGACAGACCAAGUCAGAGACACCAUAGGGAGUGUGGCACACAAAGCCAGAGAUGCCAGGUGGAAUUUUACCCAUGACAUCAGACACGCAAAGGGGAGUGUUACAUAAGAACUCAGAGGCAACGAGGAAUUGUUACAAUAAAUCUGAGAAGUUAGGGGGUCUGAGACAGGAAAUUAGAAACAAACACCAGGGGUGGUGUUACAAAGGAAGUCAGGGACAACAGGUAGUGUGUGACACAGAAAAUCAGUGAACCCAUGAAGUAUUACACACAAAGUCAAAGAUACCAGGUUGAGUGUUACACAGGAAGUGAGAGACACAACAUAGAGUGUUACACAAGUCAGAAACACCAGUGGGAGUAUUACACAUGAAGUGAGAGAAGUCACAUGAAGUGUGAACACAGUCAUGGACAACUGCAGG
ensembl:lncRNA